GCCGGGCAUGUGCAACGCUGGGUCGUGCUGGAUGCAAAUUACCUUGAUUACAGGGAACACCACAGCAGUGCCUCCGGCGCAUCGAGGGAUGAGGAGCCCACACACCACAGAACAAUGCACAGAGGGUCUCCUCCAGCCUCCUCCUUUCCUUCGGGGUACAAUUAUGGAUCGGCUGCGCCUCGCCACCAUAAAUCAGCAUCAAAGGCUGCCCCGCGUCAAUGGGAGAACACAUGUACU
rnacentral:lncRNA from 1 species